ensembl:lncRNA
CCAAAAAAAAGAAAAGAAAGCUGAACCUUGCCACAACAUCAAAGUUCAAACUGUAUUUUAAUAAACAAUUCAACCCUUGAAUAAGAGCUGAAGCUCCAACAGAGGAGCAAGCUGUGCUGCACGUGCCAUGCAGCAACCACACUGCAGCAGAACAGAACCCGACCGCCUUCACACAGAAUGCCAUUUUGGCAGGCUUUUUCUCCCAGUGCCCAGAUUGAGUUCAAGAAAUCUUCCUAUUAGAAACCAAUAGCUCCAAACUAUCCAGAAACCAGGGCCGUAGUUGCUAAGGCAACCUUGUUUUUCAGACCCAUUUGCUCAUUGCUUAACACGACAGCAACCAAAAUCAUUUUUACCAGUGCACUUCGAGCAGGACAGGAUUUUUUUCCUCUGAAAUUGAAAAAAAUAUAUCUUUGAAGUGUUCUUUGUUUUUUUUCCUUCUUCCCUUUAACAGCUGCUCCUUUAUAAACUGAAUCCCAAGACUUAGCUGGAAGCAGAGCUAACGCUGCCCUCAGCUGGGCAGACAGGAGCCCAUUCCAUGGACAAGGCCUCACCCUGCUGGCCAGGGGUGACCAAGAAACAGCAGCAAGCCAUUGCUUGCUCCACACGCAGAGGCCAGAGAGGAAGGUGUGGUGAAAGACAUGUACGUACAAACAUAAAGCAAAUGUAAAAGGUCCCAAGAAGGCAAGAAAAAAGGAUUUUAAAACUCCAGACCUGGGGUUCCUGUGCUAAAUGCUCCCACCAGUGCUGGGGAGGGGAGCUGCUGGGGGAUAGAAGCAGGCAGCAGUGCAAGAAGGAUCACGGCUUGCAGAGGUGAAAGCACACAAAAUUGGGGAUGAGAUGCCUGCAUAAGAGGGGACAUCUUUCCUAUGUCCUUCUUUGGGAAGAUAUGCCAGAGAAAUCAGGAACUGGAGCACUCCUACCCCUGCUGCCUCCAGGAUACUGUCUACAAACACCAUCUGCAUCUGCCUUGUCAAUUUUGAGGAUGAGCUGGUGGUUCUUUAUGGUAUUUCUGUGUUAGAAAACUGUUCUAGGACAGCCGUGACUUCUUCAGCCCCCAGCACAGCCUGCACACCUGCCCAUGCACAUAGGCACUCCUUACUGGCAAUAUUUGCGUCUUGAUAGCUGCUCUGACCACAUCUUCAAGAGAUAUCAGUUAUAAAUAAUUACAAAGCCAAACUUCCAAUGCUUUUCUGAUAUAGGCCAUCAUAUUUUAUUCACCUCUAAACCACUCAGAUGACACAGGUGAGGAGGAUCAGCAACUUCUCCAUCAGGAACCCAGGCUUCACAGGUGGGGACGACUCCUACUCAUGAUGAACACCAGGUAAAGCUUUUCCCAAGCACUGUGCUGCCUGCAAUUGGAUUGGUGACACACUACAUAGCUGUGUGCUCACCCUGUUCACAUGGAAACCUGGCCAGGAAAGCAUCAACUGGGCAGUUUGUGAGACAUCAAGUUAGAUUCAGAUUCACAGUGAAGAUGGAUGAAAUACAGCCAUUAAAGUACAUAGUUUUGCACUAAAAAAAAACAACCCAAUUUCAACUGCAAUAAUCAAGUCUUAAAUAAUACAGUAGGACACGUCAACCUGAAAGGAAAGGAUGUCAGUUUUAAGAAGUGGUGAAGAUACAGCAAUUGUUUGGUAUGAUAGAAAUCAAGGUUUAAUAUCCUGUCUACAAGCUGCCUCUUCUUAUCACACAGCGAUUAAACUUAGAGAACUUCAACGUGGCAGAAGUGCAUAUUAAAGCAAAAUCACCGUUACAAAUCAACAGCUCAGUCUUCCUGUGAUAGUAUUCACGGUUUUAAAUGCCCUCCUUUGGUGACAAUGGAAGUUAACAUCAAUUUGAGCAUAUUCAAUAUAUUUCUUAGUAAAAUUAUAACUGAGGCUCGACCAAAAAGACAGUGAAGGUUAGAAGCCAAGGGAUGUGGUUCAAGUACCACCUGCAUAAUACUUCUGUGUCCAUCUUUCAAACAAGAAUGUGAAAAUGUGCUUUGUAUCUUUAAGCUGUUCUUAAUACACCUCUGAAAACCAGCUGAAAGUGUCAAGAUAAUGCUUACCUACAGAGAUUCGAUGGAGGUACACACAUUUUGCUGCUCUCUUCACAUGUAUUCAGCCCUCACUGGAGAGCUGGCUGGGAAUUUCAUACCUUAUUUAGAUGAGAACUCCUAAUCAGAUGUUCUCACCUGGGCCCAGUGAAACUAGGCAUUUGUUCAGCCUGGAGACAGUAUAUUUUAAAACCCUGUAAGCAAAAUAAUCUGUGCAUUUCACAAAACAAAUUCAGCUUACGUGUGUGAGCUGUUCUUUACUAUGAGAUAAUGAAUUAACUUCACAGAUACAUUUGGCUUUAAUGAAAACUAGUGGCAGAGAAACCAUUUCUAUCAGCAGAUUUCAGGUUCCCCUCAAAGAAUACCACUGCAGCAGUACAGUCUCGCUGCAGUCACAAAUGAUAGCUUGCGAUCUUUGUGGGAUCCCAUCUUGCAAAAACCCUAUAAAUCCUCAUAUUCAUACCUGGCAAUAAGUUCAGAGCCUUUAGCAAUGAGUUCAAACUCUUCAGCCGACUGGUAUUUUGUCUAGAGAAGACUCUGUCCUAGAUAAGCAGGACUUCUGGAGCCUAAAAGUAGAGCCUCAGCAUUUCACCAGCCUUGAGGAGGUACACUGUAGGGCUGAUGAUACAAGCACUGUAACAAGAUUGAUGUGCUCAUUAGAAACUAAGUCAACGGUCAUGGUUUUGUAAAUAGGUUCUUGACCAAGUACAGGACCUGGCCUACAUAACAGACAACCCUUCACCUGGAUAGCACCUCCCAGUGGAACCUCACAACCACCACAGGCCCCCUUGCAAAAAAACCACACUAACAUGGGUUUAUGCAUAGUACCAGAUUUUAAUAUGUAUAGCAAUUCUGGGACUAGGUGGGCACUCUGAGGAAACCCUAUGAAUAUUUGUGUAUUAAAGCAUACAAAAUCUGUGUGCUUUCAGAUGGUGAGGAGCAAUCCCUCACGCACCAAGCACUGCAAUAAAGUAAUAUCUGCUUCCUAAUCUGUCAUUCACGUCGUCAAGUUUCAUUCCUGGAUUUUGGUAGCAGAAGGGAACUUAGGCCUACUGUUGAACAGACUUGUUAAAAGACAAGAGCAGGACACCUGCAGAAAUGCUUCCACAUUUGGAAGCCAUCACACUUCUAGCAGUGCUUCUUUUGGAGAGCACAUCUAAAGGGCCACAGUCACAACCGAUUAUGAGAAACUACAGACGCAGUUACACUGAGCUCACCUGCACAGUAAGCGACAGGUUCUAGGAAACAGUGCUGGCGUGCUGCUCCCUCCCAGCGAGGCCGCAGGACGGGGCUCCAAAGCACAAAGCCUCGCCUUUCUCCACAGCUCUCCCCGGCACAGGAGUCAGACGGGCGCACAUCAGGCAGCUGCCCCGCCAGGCUCAGCCCGACAACCCCGCUCCCACACCGCCCUUUGUCCGUCAGCCCCGCCAACAGAGCGCUGCGCGAACACGAAGGAAAAGCCGAAGCGGGAAGAGCUGCAAAGGAGCGACCCGGAGACGGACAGCCCCGCAGGGCCGCACGAGUACCGGCAGGCUCCGCUCCCCGAGCCGGGCCACAGCCCGCCCCCGGAGGCGCCUACCACGGCGCGGCGAUGCCGGG